rnacentral:piRNA from 1 species
UGAGACAAUGAGGUUCUCAAUAAAAGUGUGU